GUGAUACAGGUGUGUGUGAUACAGGUGUGACACAGCGGGAAGGAACACCUGGGACAGGUGUGAUACAGGUGUGUGAUACAGUGGGAAGUGGUAGAGCAGGUACCUGGGAC